rnacentral:lncRNA from 1 species
ACCUUGAUUGUAUGGGGUUAAAAUUUAAGGAUGAUUGGCUUUAGUGCAAGUGGGAGAUUGAAAAGAAUAUGCCCUAUAAGCUAAUCAAAAUUUUAUAUUUUGAUAGAUUUUUCUUGUAAUCUUCCAGACUCAUGUAACUGACACUUUAUGAAUAAAUAAAAGAUAUUUUUUUCAUCAUAUGCUAUAUCUUACAUUUGUAAUGAUUAUGAUGAACCC